rnacentral:rRNA from 1 species
GACGGAGGAUGCAAGGGUUAUCCGGAAUCACUGGGCGUAAAGCGUCUGUAGGUGGUCAAAUAAGUCAACUGUUAAAUCUUGAGGCUCAACCUCAAAAUCGCAGUCGAAACUAUUAGACUAGAGUAUAGUAGGGGUAAAGGGAAUUUCCAGUGGAGCGGUGAAAUGUGUUGAUAUUGGCAGGAACACCGGAGGCGAAAGCGGCACACUGGGGGAUAACUGACGCUGAGGCACGAAAGCCAGGGGAGCGAACGGG